CUACGGGAUGCUCCAGUGAGGAAUAUUGCACAAUGGGGGGAACCCUGAUGCAGCAACGCCGCAUGCAGGAUGAAGGUUUUCGGAUUGUAAACUGUAAUAGAUAGGGAAAAAAUCUUGAUGGUACCUAUCGAUAGCACCGGCUAACUACGUGCCAGCAGCCGCGGUAAUACGUAGGGUGCAAGCGUUAUUCGGAUUUAUUGGGCGUAAAGAGCGUGUAGGUGGCCCGCCGCAUCUUUGUUUAAAUUUUAAGGCUCAACCUUAGAAUGACAAAGAGAUGGGUGGGCUUGAGGAUGUCAGAGACAAGCGGAACACCUGGUGUAGGGGUAAAAUCCGUUGAUAUCAGGUGGAACACCAAUGGCGAAAGCAGCUUGUUGGGGCAUUCCUGACACUGAGUACGCGAAAGCGUGGAUAGCGAACGGGAUUAGAUACCCGAGUAGUC
rnacentral:rRNA from 1 species